CAUUGAGGUGUAGUGGUUUCCACACUGGACUAUGAUUCUGGAGACCAGGAUUCAAUUCCCUGCUUGGCCA